UCCUGCCAAACAACAACAUCAUCAAAUUUCGUUUUCUUUGAGAGUUUGCUUCUGUGAAGAUUCUUCCAAAAGCCCACUAAUCCUAUUGAAGCCAAGGAAAUCUAGUUCUCUCUAGCAAAGAUAGAUAUCCAGUUAAGAGCUGCUCGAGUAACAUAAGAGUCCAGCUAUUCUGAUACACGUGCACAGCAAUUGGACAAUUUAAAAAAAUCAGAACUAAUAGCUGUGGGCGGAGAUUUUACUAGAGCUGUUUGCCUGAUAACAUCUGAAUAUUGAAGCCACGCAUUGAGAUCUGAAAUGAGUCCUUCAGGGUUCAGGUCUAAAGCCUUAUGUGAAGCCAGAUUUCUUUUCCAUCAGAUCAGGUUGACUAAGGCCGCGACAGUUCCAGCAAAUGAUCCUUAUGCACCCUGGGAAGCUUUUCACAGGCAGCUUCCUGAGCCUCUGCUGGAAUAGACAGACCAGGCGGACUUGAAGGUUCCAAAUUCAAGUUGAAAGCCUCCAAGAGAGAGGAGUUGUUUAGAUAAGGUAGUGGAUCCUGGAAUGAUGGAGCAGUCUCACAAUUCUGAGUAGGUGCCAGAGCUUGAUCAGCAAUAGGAGCAGUAACUUGAUCCAAGGAAGUAUAAAUUGCUGAGCUGACAUCUAGAACAUAAGAAAAAUAAAUAAGCCAAUGUGGUCCAUCCAUAAUUGCAGUAGGUGAGAACGCAAAUCCUCCAUGCUCACUCAAAUCAUAAAACAGUAUAUUACUAGUUUGAAAUGCCUUUUCAAAGAGUUCAUAGUUCAGAGGCCGAAACCAAUCUUAAACCGACCAUAAUUGUCACAGUUAUUCCUCCAACUGUUAACUAACACCAAAGGAAUUGGGGGUUUGUUGUCCAGCAAAAACCAUUUGGAAGAUUUUAUGAAAUGAGGAUCAGAACCAGAGUGGAUAAUACUUUUUAAAAAUCAGGUGGUAUCUCAACCCUCUUACCCAAAUUAGAGAAAAUGCGCCUAGCGAAUUCAUCAACUUCGGCUUUAAGAGAAUCCAGACUAUCAUUCAACCUUCUUUUUUUAUUAAUUCUGUACCCAAAGUAAUCAUAUUUCCAAAUUGGCAAGGCAGACCAACCUCCAAGCUCCUUUGAUCGAAAAUUGGAGCAACAUCAACUAGAUGGUUUACAUCUGCUUCCCUCUUCCGACAAACUUCCUUCAUCACCAACGUUUCUUCAAGAGGAUUUCUAGCAUCUGUAAAGAGAGGUUGAGUCUCAGGCUGUGGAAGUUUCUCUGGAUUGGGUAGAGGGCUACCCUCCUCAAUAUUAGAUCUCGCAUUGUCAGAUUUGGAUAGAAAAGAGGCAUAUUGAUCUUGAAUAACCACAAAAUCCUCAUCCAACAUUUCAUUCACCAUGGUAUUAAUUUGAGAUCAAUCAUCGGGUGGAACUGCAGCUGAAAAAGGCUGAUUAUCCUGUUGCGAAAAAGUUGGCUCAGCCAUUUCCUCAUGAGGGAGGCCUCCCUGAUUUUCUGAAUCUGAAGAGUCUUCAUCAUCUAGGUGAAAGAAAAGAUGAUUAGGACCAGCAUCAUUGAUGAGGACAUGUUCUGGAAGAGUUUCAUAGAUUCUAUAUCCUGGCCUUGCAUGUCUGAAAAAGCGAAUCCUAGAAGUGCCUCUCUGCCGGUUGUUCCUGAUCCAUUCAUGCCAAUCACUUGCUAGGGGGCCUCAGUCAAAGAAACAUUGGAAAUGAUUACUGAACCUUCUGACUGUUCUUGCAUGUACCCAGUUGAAACCGUGGAAGGCCUGAUGCACUGUUCUAGGACAUUCUUGCUGAGUGUGACCAAUGAUCCGAUAGAAAUGACAAUGUCUAAAGAUUUUUUCAUAAAUGCAUUCAACUUCAAAGGAAAUCCCUGAGUCAAGGUUGACUCUAAUACGUUGAAUAAGUGGUAAGCGGGGAUUAAUCAAAACUCGGACUCUAAGAAAGUUCAGAGAACUUGAAUAAUCAGUAUGAUCAUGAAGGAAAACCGUUUCGCCCACUAUGUCUCCUAAGGUAUUAGCCACCAUCUCAUUGUGGUACUCCAGAGGAAUGGCCCAGAAUUGGACCCAGAUGGGGAAAUAACCGACAACUCACUCACUUAAAUGCAUGUUGGGACACCAGUGGUCAGCUACAAGCGGAGAGUUUUGAAUGGACCAAGGCCCAUUAUCCAUAACAAAAUUUCUGUCCUCCUGAUUAUUGAAGCUGAUCAGAAAGAAGCAACUAAUCCUCCCCUCAGUUCUAAAACUGUCUUGAAGUAACCAAGCCCUCCUAAGCUUUCUUGAAAGAGAUCUCAACGAGUACAUAUGAGCAUCUAUCACCACAACAAUAGGCACAAGAGGCCAGAGAGAAACUCGGUCGAGCAAAAGCAUGAGGCCUAAAACGCAGUGAAGGCUGAAAAAUGCGAGCCACCAUAGACGGGAGAAAUAAUCCAGGAGUAAAGAAGAGUACGAGAGAAAAAGGCGAAAGCUUGACUAGAAAUUUGGAGAAACAGAGGAGAUAAGCAGAGGCGAGAAAGCAUAAGCGAAAGGCGUGAUGAAAAGAAGGAGACUUGACCUCCCUUAAAUAAGCAGAGCCUCAUAACUUCAGAAUCUGAAACGAUCACUUCCGAAAGAAGAUAGAAUACCAAAAACUGUCAAUGAAGCACUAAAGCAUCUAUGAUCAGUAGUUCAGAGCACGAGCUGAGCAUAAUAAAUGAAGAUCUGAAAAAAAACAACAAAAUCUAGGAGAAAAAGAACACAAAUCAAGUAACCAGAAACCAAAAAAAAAAAAAACAAAGAAAGAAAGAGAGAAAGAAAGAAAGAGCUUAUUGGUGCAGGGAGCAGAGCCGAAAUAAUUAGAGACCAGAUUCAAGAACCACACAAAAGUAGCACCAAUGAGAAAAGGGAAGAAAGUAGAAACUGAGCCCAAAUGAUUAAGGCUAGAAGAACCAGGAAAAUAAAGGCAAGUAGGCAAGGAGAAGAACACCAGUGUGAAAAAAAGUGACAAAAAGAGGAAGCAAGGAAGACAAAGGGCACUCAAAAAGGAGUGUUCUCAUAGAGAAGGCAGGGUUUCUCUCACUAGGAGAGUAUUGAGUUCAUUCAUCUAGGAUUCAAUAUAUUUAUUGCAUUUGAAAUUUGAGUCUUGAACAAGAUGAUGAAUACACGUGGUCUGGUAAUUAAACUGACCAAAAGCAAAACUUCAGUA